GAGGAUGUAGCUCAGUUGUAGAGUGCUUACCUUGCAUGCACAAGGCCUUGGGUUCGAUUCCCAACACCACA
rnacentral:tRNA from 1 species